rnacentral:lncRNA from 1 species
UGCUCCUACGUCCACUCCCCAAGUCGCACUUGGGAAUUCACUAUAACCUCCUUGGAUUACAGCCGGUUGUUUUCCAAGCUCACAACCAAACUUGUUGUUUUACGAGCUCACAACGAACUCGGUCAGUUUUCCCAGGCUCACCGACUAGAACCGCCCCGAUUGUUUUCCCGGGAUCACAAUCAAACCCUUACACACGUUGGUUUUAACUCGGCUCACCAACCAACCUCAAUCCCCUUGAUUCAAUCUCCUAUUGAACCAAGUAAAUACAAGUUGUAGAAAGAAAACAGAAAAUGAGCUUCUCAAAAAGCAGAUGAAAACAAUAUGAACAAUAGAUGAAGUUAAGAAGCCUCAAACGCUUUUAGAUUGGAGAUGAGGAAUGGCUUCUUAAACUUCUGGUCUCCUCUUGAAAGAGUAGUCGACUUGAAUGCAGGAGAAGGAGGCUUUAAUUGCUGGGAAGAUGU